rnacentral:rRNA from 1 species
UGGGGAAUAUUGGGCAAUGGAGGGAACUCUGACCCAGCGACGCCGCGUGCGGGAUGAAGGCCUUCGGGUUGUAAACCGCUUUCAGCAGGGAAGAAGCGAAAGUGACGGUACCUGCAGAAGAAGCACCGGCUAACUAUGUGCCAGCAGCCGCGGUAAUACAUAGGGUGCAAGCGUUGUCCGGAAUUAUUGGGCGUAAAGCGCGCGUAGGCGGUCGUAUAAGUCGGAUGUGAAAGCCCUUGGCUCAACCAAGGAACUGCGUCCGAUACUGUACGGCUUGAGGCUGGUAGGGGGUAGCGGAAUUCCCGGUGUAGCGGUGGAAUGCGUAGAUAUCGGGAGGAACACCGAUGGCGAAAGCGGCUACCUGGGCCAGAUCUGACGCUGAGGCGCGAAAGCUAGGGGAGCAAACAGGAUUAGAUACCCCCGUAGUCCCUGAGCGGGCUGGCAAGGCGCAU